AAGCGUCCUCAGCGACGG
rnacentral:snRNA from 1 species